GCUCUCGUUAUUAUAAUAGAUCAGAUACACAUGCUUGUGUAUUUCACCAUCAUAUAGCAAGGAGCAAUUAUGUGGCAGUAAAAUUUGUGGAGCUGUGUUUUACCACCAUCACCAUUCCUGCAUCUCAUCGAUUCCACAUAAACCCCAAACCCCCAUUAUUCCAGCGGAGGUUUGGAGUGUACAAGUAAUCCAGAAUUAAGCCCAGCAGAAGCCUUCCAACAUUAUGGCUACAGUGCACAGAAUCUUGGAAGUCACAAUGUGGAAUUCUCCCUUUGCGAGGAGCCUUUGACCUAACCUCCAUUUCUUCUAACCCUGCCUGACAUCUUCCUCAUCAUAUGUCGACAGUGUGUGUCCUCAGUGAAAAGCAAAUGAACAUUGGCACUAAUGAGACCCAAAGAAAAGUGACUUAGAGGAAGAAAGAAAGAAAGAGAAACCCCAACCAUGCUGGCUGUUCCCAGCGAUCUGUUGCUCCAGCAACUGAAAGUUAAACAAUGAUGUAUAGAAGACAGAGCUACUUUAAACUCUGAGUCCAGUUGCCACAGCAACUGGAAUUUUAAAAGUGCAUUGCGGUCGCAUUUUGAAGCUUUCUCCACAGCCACAAGGGCUCGAAACUUCAUUUCUCUUUAAGAAUGAAGGAUGAAAUCAUCACAUCUCCACUUGACUCCAGGAGCUGGGACUUUAAGGAAAACAAUAAUGAUCACGAGACUCGUGACAAAAUCAUGAGAGUUGGCAACCCUGCGGCAGCACUGUAGGCCUCUCCACCACUUCUCCCAUUCUUUGUGGCCUUUCUUCUUCUUAAUGUCUGCUUCUUCCACUCUCCGACUGAUGUCAAUCAAUCAGGAAACAGAAACAGUGCCAUGUGAUAUCACUCUUGAAUAGCACAUUCUGAAGAUCUACCACUGGUAGGAAUACUUGCCUCUCAUUGGCUGAAAUGUGUUUGUAACAAUCUGGAAUGAUAAGCACUUUGGUACGUGGUUCGUAAAUGAAUAAUUUGAUAUGCUCAAAUGACUCCCUCUAGCAUUGCACCUACACUGAGGAUUAGAGGGAAAUCUGGAAUAGUGAUGUUGAUGCAGCUCCACCAGUGGAAGCAUUAAUGUAGACUGGCCACUGGCUUUUUAAUCACCAUGUUUUCUGACCCUGCUCAGGGUAGUUCUGUACAACUCAGCCGUGCAAAGGCCUAUUGUCAGCCUAUACGAGUUUGUUGGUACCAUUGCUACCACCAGCAGUGUUGCACUGGUGCUAUAGCAACAGGAGGAUAGUUUCCUAAAAAUCUUAGUGUGGACAAAGCUUGAGAGCAACAGCAGAGUUCUGUGUCUAUGCAGAAUUUUAUUGGGGAGGAGGGGAAAUGAAGAAGACAAAAGAUGAGAGAACACUGAAGAGAAUUGUACCUUCGGGGUGCUCUUAAAAUUCAUUCCACUGUGACUUGAAAAUGAAUUCCACCUACCCUACAUACGUACACACACUUUUAAAACAUCCUGGAAGCAGAAUUAAAGAGCACAGCAGAGAAAGGGCCCCUGAGUGGACAGCAGAGAGCAGCUGGAGAGGGAUUCCUAGGGGAUGGACAGAGAGGCAAAUUGCAAAUUCUGUUAAUUAUGUUGUUAAACUAAAUAACAGAGUAGGAUGCCCUGGGGGGGUGGAAAGCAGAACAACAGAAGAGGAACCCUCAGAGGAUCCAUUAAUUAUAUACAAUACAGCACAGGGACACUGUGAAUAAGGUGCUGAGGGCACACAAACCACUUGUGCUUAUGAUGUCGUCAUCAGAACAUCCUCCCUGCCCUACCCACCCAUGGCUUGUUUGUUGCAUUUCCCAACUUGGGCUGGAAUCUACAAGUGAAAACAAAGAAAUAAACCUGUGCUUGGCAAUGGAUUGUGUUGCUA